rnacentral:snRNA from 1 species
UGAAAUUUCACAGGGCACAAGUUGGAAAAAGAUUAGCAUGGCCCCUGCGCAAGGAUGACACGCAAAAUCGUGAAACAUUCCAAGUUGGA